UCUCCGUUGGUGAACCAGUGGAGGGGUCAUUACUGAGUGUAAAAACUCCCAAACCCCUGUGAACAUACCAUCUGUUGCUUCGGCGGGAUCGCCCCGGGCGCCUUUGCGUGCCCCGGAUCCAGGCCCCCGCCGGAGGACUCCAAACUCUUGUUUUAUAUGUGGCAUUAUCUGAGUGGCUUAUAGCAAAUAAAUCAAAACUUUCAACAAUGGAUCUCUUGGCUCUG
rnacentral:misc_RNA from 1 species